rnacentral:rRNA from 1 species
GACGAACGCUGGCGGCGUGCUUAACACAUGCAAGUCGAACGGAAAGGCCCUGCUUGCAGGGUACUCGAGUGGCGAAAGGGUGAGUGACACGUGGGUGAUAUGUCCUGUACUUCGGGAUAAGCCUGGGGGAAUGGGUCUAUUAUCGGGUAGGAGACAUUUUUUGUGUGAUGGUUGGAAAGUUUUUUCGGUGUAGGGUGAGUUCGCGGCCGAUUGGCUUGUUGGUGGGGUAAUGGCCUACCUAGGCGGGGACGGGUAGCCGGCCGGGGGGGGUGGGCGGCCGCAAUGGGACUGAGGGACGGCCCAGGCGCCGACGGGGGGCAACAGGGGGGAAUAUUGCACAAGUGGGGCAAGCCGGAUGCAGCGACGCCGCGUGGGGGAAGACCGCCUUCGGGGUGGAAACUCCGUUCGCUAUGGACGAAGCUUUUUGUGACGGUACCUAGAGAAGAAGCACCGGCUAACUACGUG